rnacentral:rRNA from 1 species
CGGCAGGCCUAACACAUGCAAGUCGAACGGUAACAGGAAGAAGCUUGCUUCUUUGCUGACGAGUGGCGGACGGGUGAGUAAUGUCUGGGAAACUGCCUGAUGGAGGGGGAUAACUACUGGAAACGGUAGCUAAUACCGCAUAACGUCGCAAGACCAAAGAGGGGGACCUUCGGGCCUCUUGCCAUCGGAUGUGCCCAGAUGGGAUUAGCUUGUUGGUGGGGUAACGGCUCACCAAGGCGACGAUCCCUAGCUGGUCUGAGAGGAUGACCAGCCACACUGGGACUGAGACACGGUCCAGACUCCUACGGGAGGCAGCAGUGGGGAGUAUUGCACAAUGGGCGCAAGCCUGAUGCAGCCAUGCCGCGUGUAUGAAGAAGGCCUUCGGGUUGUAAAGUACUUUCAGCGGGGAGGAAGGGAGUAAAGUUAAUACCUUUGCUCAUUGACGUUACCCGCAGAAGAAGCACCGGCUAACUCCGUGCCAGCAGCCGCGGUAAUACGGAGGGUGCAAGCGUUAAUCGGAAUUACUGGGCGUAAAGCGCACGCAGGCGGUUUGUUAAGUCAGAUGUGAAAUCCCCGGGCUCAACCUGGGAACUGCAUCUGAUACUGGCAAGCUUGAGUCUCGUAGAGGGGGGUAGAAUUCCAGGUGUAGCGGUGAAAUGCGUAGAGAUCUGGAGGAAUACCGGUGGCGAAGGCGGCCCCCUGGACGAAGACUGACGCUCAGGUGCGAAAGCGUGGGGAGCAAACAGGAUUAGAUACCCUGGUAGUCCACGCCGUAAACGAUGUCGACUUGGAGGUUGUGCCCUUGAGGCGUGGCUUCCGGAGCUAACGCGUUAAGUCGACCGCCUGGGGAGUACGGCCGCAAGGUUAAAACUCAAAUGAAUUGACGGGGGCCCGCACAAGCGGUGGAGCAUGUGGUUUAAUUCGAUGCAACGCGAAGAACCUUACCUGGUCUUGACAUCCACGGAAGUUUUCAGAGAUGAGAAUGUGCCUUCGGGAACCGUGAGACAGGUGCUGCAUGGCUGUCGUCAGCUCGUGUUGUGAAAUGUUGGGUUAAGUCCCGCAACGAGCGCAACCCUUAUCCUUUGUUGCCAGCGGUCCGGCCGGGAACUCAAAGGAGACUGCCAGUGAUAAACUGGAGGAAGGUGGGGAUGACGUCAAGUCAUCAUGGCCCUUACGACCAGGGCUACACACGUGCUACAAUGGCGCAUACAAAGAGAAGCGACCUCGCGAGAGCAAGCGGACCUCAUAAAGUGCGUCGUAGUCCGGAUUGGAGUCUGCAACUCGACUCCAUGAAGUCGGAAUCGCUAGUAAUCGUGGAUCAGAAUGCCACGGUGAAUACGUUCCCGGGCCUUGUACACACCGCCCGUCACACCAUGGGAGUGGGUUGCAAAAGAAGUAGGUAGCUUAACCUUCGGGAGGGCGCUUACCACUUUGUGAUUCAUGACUGGGG